AAUCAACGCUGGCGGCGUGCCUCAGACAUGCAAGUCGAACGAUUAAAGCUCUCUUCGGAGAGUGCAUAGAGUGGCGCACGGGUGAGUAACACGUAAGUAAUCUACCUUCGAGUGGGGAAUAACGUCCGGAAACGGGCGCUAAUACCGCAUAAUGCAGCGGCAUCGCAAGAUGACAGUUGUUAAAGGAGCAAUCCGCUUGAAGAGGAGCUUGCGGCAGAUUAGCUAGUUGGUAGGGUAAUGGCCUACCAAGGCUACGAUCUGUAACCGGUCUUAGAGGACGGUCGGUCACACUGACACUGAAUAACGGGUCAGACUCCUACGGGAGGCAGCAGUCGGGAAUUUUGGGCAAUGGGGGAAACCCUGACCCAGCAACGCCGCGUGAAGGAUGAAGUAUUUCGGUAUGUAAACUUCGAAAGAAUAGGAAGAAUUAAUGACGGUACUAUUUAUAAGGUACCGGCUAACUACGUG
rnacentral:rRNA from 1 species